rnacentral:rRNA from 1 species
UACGGAGGGUGCAAGCGUUGUCCGGAUUUAUUGGGUUUAAAGGGUGCGUAGGUGGUUUAUUAAGUUAAGUGUGAAAUCCUCGGGCUUAACCUGGGAAUUGCGCUUAAUACUGGUGAACUUGAGUACUGUAGAGGAAGGUGGAAUUUCCGGUGUAGCGGUGAAAUGCGUAGAUAUCGGAAGGAACAUCAGUGGCGAAGGCGACUUUCUGGACAGAUACUGACACUGAGGCACGAAAGCAUGGGGAGCAAACAGG